rnacentral:lncRNA from 1 species
CGGAAACAACUUGGGAACGGUAAACAUGGGGAACCAACACCUAAUAGAACGGUAACACGGGACACUAAACUCGGGAUCUCGAACGGUAACACGAUGCUAAUAGAUAGCUAGGAUAACUUGGCUGCUGCCUGCACGGGAGGGCCCACUCCGUCAGUUCCUCCAGUUGCCACCAGAUUCGCCGCGGCUGCCGCCGUAGCCGCCACCGCCGCCGUAGCCGCCGUCGCGGCUGCGGUAGCCGCCGCCGCCGCCGCCGCCGUAGCCGCCCUGGCGACCGCCGCCGCCGUAGCCGCCGCCGCCACCGUAGCCGCCCUGGCGACCGCCGCCGCCGUAGCCACCGCCGCCGCCGCCGCGGGACUGGGCCUGGUUGACGGUGAUGUUGCGGCCGUCGAGCUCCUUGCCGUUCAUGUUCUCGAUGGCUUCGAGCAUCGACUGCUCAGUGGAGAAGGUGACGAAGCCGAACCCGCGGGACCUCCCAGUCUCCCGGUCGGUGAUGACCUGCAAGCACAAGGAACAACAGCACCAUCAGCGUGGGUGUUUGAUUCGAUUCAGAGAAACGCAGAUCUAAACCGAAACAUAGCAGAUCUGGUGACACACGACGCAGAUCUGGACUGGCGUCAACAGAAACCCAUCGCAAAACCCAAGCGAAUCGAACGGAACUCAGAGCAAACGGACCUUGGAGUCGACAACGUCGCCGUAGGAGGCGAAGGCAAGCUGGAGGGACUCGCUGUCGGUGGCCCAUGCGAGGCCGCCGACGAAGCAACGGUACUCCACGUCCGCCGCCGCCAUCUCCCUUCUUCUCCCACUGAAAAACCCUAAAGCCGAAGACUUGGUAAGAGGGGGAGGAGUAGCCAACCCACCUCUGAG